rnacentral:ncRNA from 1 species
CGCCAUAGGUUGUGGGUAGCAGUAAUGCCCCAGCGGCCCGUUUACGAGCCGUAGACCAGCCUAUGGCGUU